rnacentral:rRNA from 1 species
CAGCCGCCGCGGUAAUACGGAGGGUGCAAGCGUUAAUCGGAAUUACUGGGCGUAAAGCGCACGCAGGCGGUUUGUUAAGUCAGAUGUGAAAUCCCCGAGCUUAACUUGGGAACUGCACUUGAAACUGGCAAGCUAGAGUCUUGUAGAGGGGGGUAGAAUUCCAGGUGUAGCGGUGAAAUGCGUAGAGAUCUGGAGGAAUGCCGGUGGCGAAGGCGGCCCCCUGGACAAAGACUGACGCUCAGGUGCGAAAGCGUGGGGAGCAAACAGGAUUAGAUACCCCUGUAGUCCCUGUCUCUUAUAC